ACAGUACAAACUGAUCAGGCCGAUAAAUGAUUUUAUUUAUGGAGCCGGGCCAUAAUAGUGGCAACAGGAUAUUUAAUACCUGUGGGACAGUA
ncrna:Clostridium botulinum B str. Eklund 17B (NRP) NiCo riboswitch